rnacentral:rRNA from 1 species
AGGACUAACGCUGGCGGCGUGCCUAACACAUGCAAGUCGAACGAGAGUAGCAAUACUCUAGUGGCAGACGGGUGAGUAACACGUGGUCAACCUACCUUUAAGUGGGGGAUAACUAGCCGAAAGGUUAGCUAAUACCGCAUACGAUCUUCGCGUGGCAUCACAUGAAGAUGAAAGGAGCAAUCCGCUGAAAGACGGGACCGCGUCCCAUUAGCCAGUUGGUGGGGUAACGGCCUACCAAAGCAACGAUGGGUAGCUGGCUUGAGAGAGCGACCAGCCACACUGGGACUGAGACACGGCCCAGACUCCUACGGGAGGCAGCAGUGAGGAAUUUUCCGCAAUGGGCGAAAGCCUGACGGAGCGACGCCGCGUGUGGGAUGAAGGCCUUCGGGUCGUAACCACUGUCGAAGGGGAAGAUAUUGACGGUACCCUUGGAGGAAGCCCCGGCUAACUACGCGCCAGCAGCCGC